GCUUGAGCCACCACGCCAACCAAAAGCUGCCUUUAUUGAGGGUUGGCUCUAAGCAUUAUUCUGGUGUUGCUGCCAAGUGUUUUCAGGCAGUGUUUUGCACCUCUGACAGAGGAAUGACUUUUCCUGUGGCAUUGCACCUAGUCUGGAUGCAAACAAU
rnacentral:snoRNA from 1 species